rnacentral:lncRNA from 1 species
UAACAUGAAUGACUCAGAUUCUGAAGGAAGAAAAAGAAUGACAAACUAUGUUCCAGGAGAAGUAGAAUUACUGCAUCACAGGGCACUUCAUUUUUAGAUUACGUAUCAUGGCGGCAGACCUUCAAUACCAAGGUGCAUCUUCUCCAGCAAGUUCUUCAGCAUCCUUUCCAGAAGCAUUCGGCAGCCGAGAAAGCAGGCUACACCUUACCUACUCCUUCCUGGGCUAAAGAUCUCAGACUUAGUUGCUUAUCUUAAUUUGGGGAAAAUAAAUUAAGGAGUUCUUCUAUCAUUAAGCACAACAUAAUAUAAUCUAUUUAAU